AGCCUUCUGCAAUUCAUUAGCAUGAUAUCUCACUAUUCUAUGAGAUAUGCCUCCCUCAAAACUUGUUACAACAUUGGCACAUUACCCUUCUGAUG
ensembl:snoRNA